rnacentral:rRNA from 1 species
CACGGGGGGAGCAAGCGUUGUUCGGAUUCAUUGGGCGUAAAGGGCUCGUAGGUGGCGAGGUAAGUCGGAUGUGAAAUCUCCGAGCUCAACUCGGAAAUGGCAUUGGAAACUACCUUGCUAGAGGGUCGGAGGGGGGACUGGAAUGCUUGGUGUAGCGGUGGAAUGCGCAGAUAUCAGGAGGAACACCGAUGGCGAAGGCAGGUCUCUGGGCCACUACUGACGCUGAGGCGCGAAAGCGUGGGGAGCAAACGGG